UACGUAGGUGGCAAGCGUUGUCCGGAUUUACUGGGCGUAAAGAGCGCGCAGGCGGUCGUCCAAGUCGCGUGUGAAAGCCCCCGGCUCAACUGGGGAGGGUCACGCGAUACUGAUCGACUCGAAGGCAGGAGAGGGUAGUGGAAUUCCCGGUGUAGCGGUGAAAUGCGCAGAUAUCAGGAGGAACACCGAUGGCGAAGGCAGGUCUCUGGGCAUUAACUGACGCUGAGGAGCGAAAGCAUGGGGAGCGAACGGG
rnacentral:rRNA from 1 species